rnacentral:rRNA from 1 species
AUCUACGGCCAUGCCACCCUGAACAAGCCCGAUUCCGUGUGAUCUCGGAAGCUAAGCGGGGCGGGGCCUGGUUAGUACUUGGAUGGGAGACCACCUAGGAAGACCAGGCGCUGUAAGCG